UACGAAGGGGGCUAGCGUUGCUCGGAAUCACUGGGCGUAAAGGGCGCGUAGGCGGCCCCUUUUGUCGCGUGUGAAAGCCCCGGGCUCAACCUGGGAGGUGCGCGCGAAACGGGGGGGCUUGAGUUCGGGAGAGGAGAGUGGAAUUCCCAGUGUAGAGGUGAAAUUCGUAGAUAUUGGGAAGAACACCGGUGGCGAAGGCGGCUCUCUGGACCGAGACUGACGCUGAGGCGCGAAAGCGUGGGGAGCAAACAGG
rnacentral:rRNA from 1 species